rnacentral:rRNA from 1 species
UACGUAGGGGGCAAGCGUUGUCCGGAUUUAUUGGGCGUAAAGAGCGUGUAGGCGGCUGGGUAGGUCUGCUGUGAAAACUCGAGGCUCAACCUCGAGACGUCGGCGGAAACCCUCCAGCUAGAGUCCGGAAGAGGAGAGUGGAAUUCCUGGUGUAGCGGUGAAUGCGCAGAUAUCAGGAAGAACACCCGUGGCGAAAGCGGCUCUCUGGGACGGUACUGACGCUGAGACGCGAAAGCGUGGGGAGCGAACAGG